CCCGUCAAAUCGGGCCAUCACACAGGUGCUGCAUGGCUGUCGUCAGCUCGUGCCGUGAGGUGUUGGGUUCAGUCCCGCAACGAGCGCAACCCUCGCCCUUUGUUGCCAUCGGGUAAAGCCGGGCACUCUAAGGGGACUGCCAGCGACAAGUUGGAGGAAGGAGAGGAUGACGUCAAGUCAUCAUGGCCUUUAUGCCUAGGGCCACACACGUGCAACAAUGGCCGGUACAGACGGAGGCAAUGCCGAGAGGCGGAGCAAACCCGAGAAAACCGGUCCCAGUUCGGAUUGAGGUCUGCAACUCGACCUCAUGAAGUCGGAAUCGCUAGUAAUCGCAUAUCAGAACGAUGCGGUGAAUACGUUCCCGGGCCUUGUACACACCGCCCGUCACACCACGAAAGUUUGUUGUACCCGAAGUCGGUGCCUUAACCUCGCAAGAGGAGAGAGCCG
rnacentral:rRNA from 1 species